AAGUCAACGACCAGCAGCGGCAAGAAAUGUCAGAGGUGGACAGUUGAUUCCCCACACGUGGUCGACGCCAUCUUCCGUGAUGAGAACAAUCUGACGUCAGACGUCACGCUUGGUGGCGCAUCUAACUACUGCAGGGGAUUCUGGGAUGGAAAGCCUCCAUGGUGCUACACAACAGACCCGUCGAGCGUUAUCGAGACUUGCGAUGUGCCGCAAUGUGAUAAUUUGUCAGUUUGCAAGACGCCACUUGAUCUGUUUGACGCAAUCCUCUCUGAUCGUCCCGACAACGAAACGGUCAUCUACCGCUGUAAAGAUGGAUUUAACUUCAUCAAGGGUUCGGGAGAAUCAAAGUGUCUGAAAACUGGACUGUGGUCAGUCCCAGACAUCUUCUGUGCACCCACAAGAUGCUAUUACAAACAUCACAAAUAUGGUUUUGUGUACGACGGCGAUGUCAGGGAAACAGACAGUGGAAUCACCUGUCAGUCGUGGUCUGUAGACUCUCCACACGAGCGAGAUAAUGUGUCUAAUAAGCUAUACAACCACGUCACUGUCAGCACGUGGGCAGAACUCUCCAAUUACUGUCGAGGAGUGAGAGGCGACUCAGGCAG